rnacentral:rRNA from 3 species
CUGGCGGCUGUAGCGCGGUGGUCCCACCUGACCCCAUGCCGAACUCAGAAGUGAAACGCCGUAGCGCCGAUGGUAGUGUGGGGUCUCCCCAUGCGAGAGUAGGGAACUGCCAGACA